CCUGGACUCUGUCUGCUCUAUAUCCUUGGGGCAAGUAGUUCUCUGAGUCUGUGUAGAGCCCAGCUGGUGCUGGAGCUGAGGGAGCCAGGCAAGCAUGGAUUCUACUUUGAACAAACAUCUGGAACAUCCCCAGGUGUGUUGAUUUGAAGAGAAGAGGAGCAUCGUGAAAUAGGAGCUAAACUCCUCCAGUUUCCGAGAAUCUCGACACAGUCAAAGGUGUCUAGUUUCCUCCCAGGCUUCUCAGGAAAAUCAUGCUUUGGUUGAUCAUGGUAUUUUCUUGGAGCACUAGCUCCGGCAUAAAUACACAGUCGGAAAACGAUGCCAUCCAGGAAGAUAUACAAUAUGUUCCUGGCAAGAGACACUAGGCAUAUCUCUUCCACUGCCUGCUGCCCUUCCCAGCACCCAGCUGCACCAUGAAGGACCCACAGCUUGGAAAUUGAAGCAAUGAAGGAACUGAGCCUCUGUAAUUGUCUGCUUCCCCUGGGUCAGAGGCAGACAAAUAUGUGUCAACCAGGAUGUGGCUUUUUUUACAUAAGAAGCAAAGAACUUGGGGCUACACAGUUUGGGCAAGUUCCCCACAUAGCCUGCUGGCCAUUGCGUCAUCAAAUAAAGAUAUUCUAUUGGUUU
rnacentral:lncRNA from 1 species